UUUCUAGGCACAGCAGAGAUGGCAACAGUCACUGAGGACUGAGGAGAGAGGGAUAGCUGGGAAGUAGCCCGUGGGGACCUGGGCUGGGUAAAUGUCAGAACAAGCUGCAGCGCUUCCCGGACCACGCAGUGGGAGACAGACCAACCUCAUCGCCUUGGCAACCCCUCUGUUCUCUCCUCAAAGGAAGAGUCAAGGGAGGAGAAGAAAGGGGCUUUUAUGCUCCCGACCUCCCUGCACCCCCCUCCUCCAGCCCCUCUUCCGCCACGCUGCACUGUUAGCCCAGGCUCUGGCACAUGUGGAUGGGCUCCCAGGCCUCACAUUUAAAAAAAUAUCUAUUCCUUAUCUUACCAGGCUCAGGUUUUGAUCAUCACCCAUCUUUACCAGGCGGAGGACUGGUGUGAGCCUUGAGGCUGCCCAGGGAAAUGACCUGUUCGACGGACGGCACACUGAGGCUUCGUUAGCCGAGAGCACAGCACAAGUCCCUCCCUCUCUGGCCUGAUCGAACGGGGCAACUCUCUACCAUGGCCAACAGCCAUCCCGCAGAGGAACUCAUUUAGUAAACUUCCCGGUGCCUCGCCGCUCCACACGUUUUUCGGUGCUUUAAUUGAUAAUUGAAUUGACUAUCGCCAUGUAAUCAAUUCGGGGUUCAUCUCUGACUCCAUGCAGUUAAUUGGCUUGUGCCAGAGAGAGCAGGAGAGAGAGCAUGAGAGGCAGUGCAGAGCAGGGAGAGACUGACUCCCUGUAGAACUACAGAUGGGCUUUCAGAACAAUUUGCAUUGUUAAAUCGCUGAUUACCUUCCUGCUUCCAAAAAGUUGCCUGGGUGCAACGCAGGACCUUAGGGACUGUCCUCCAACUGGAUUCAGGGACUGACUGGGGCAGACACAGAAGUAUCGAUGGACACAAAACAAACAGCGGGAUGCUGUCUCUGCUUUGAUCAUAUUGAGACACAUGCAGGUUCUCUCCCCAUUCAACACUCCUUUUGUUUAUUUUUUUAUACAAGUAGCAUCUGGAAAGAUUCCUGGCUGCCUGCUGUCCACUGUUGCUUUGUACCUGCAAGUGGAAAGCAAAGUAUUGAAGGGAGGGGGGCACAACAGUGCAGUAUUGAUCCAACCCCUACCUUUAUGUUAUUCUCUCCUCUACAACAUGCCUUUUCACUCAGUUGACUUCAAUUCAAGCCAAGCCAGUGUGACCCUCCUUGAAUGAGGGAUGCUUGACUAGGUUCUGGGGCCUAGGCAGAGGCUGCUUGGUAGUGCACAGGUAGGGGCUAAGAGGCCCGGAUAGGGCUGGAUAAAGAGAGAGGGGUUGUACGUAACCAUCUGCUUUUGUGGUGGUGAGCAUCAAAGUCCUGAAGGAGCCCAAUUGGGACCCUCCUUUUAGAGGGGAAACCCCACAUACAAGCAGGACUUUUGGACACAGUCUACCCUCACUAUUCUCUCUCUCUCUCUCUCUCUCUCUCUCUCUCUCUCUCUCUCUCUCUCUCUCUCUCUCUCUCUCUUUCUCUCUCUCUCCCUCUCUCCCUCUCUCUCUCUUUCUCUCUCUUUCUCUUUCUCUCUCUCUCUCUCUCUCUCUCUCUCUCUCUCUCUCCCUACCUCUCUCUUUCUCUCUCUCUCUGUUUCUCUCUGCAUGGCUUCUAUAGGGCUUUGUGUUGACUGGAAGGAAGAGAGAAAAGAGCAGACAGACUCCCAUGAUUAAUCCUGGGAAUGUGGGAAGUACAAUUGUCUGUUUGACCCAGAGGACUUGGGCCAUCCUCCCUCACUUCACUAAAUAAAGAUAGGGAGGAGAGGAAGUGGUAGUUGAGUGUGUUGUAUGUAGUUUGGUGAGCGGUCUUGGAGAAAUGGGUCAGUGUGUAGUAUAGCUCCUAGAAAAUGCUUGCAGGGUGAUUCAUUAUUGAAGUGACUAAUACCUAAUUUGCCUGGCAGCACCACUGGCUCUCUCUCUCAUCCACUGUGGUGGCCACACAACAACAGUCUGCCACUCUCCUCUCUCUCUCAUCCACUGUGGUGGUCACACAACAACUGUCUACCACUCUCCUCUCUCUCUCUCAUCCACUGUGGUGGCCACACAACAACAGUCUGCCACUCUCCUCUCUCUCUCAUCCACUGUGGUGACCACACAACAACAGUCUGCCACUCUCCUCUCUCGCUCCCCCCCCCUACCAAUAUUUUGCUCUCCAUAUCCACUUCUCCGUAUCCCUCCUAUUUCUCAACCGCUCUAUCUUUCCAUUCCCACGCUAUUGCCAUCUCUCUCUCUCUUUUCUUUCCCUUUCCUUGUAUCCUCCCCCUAUCCUCUCUCUUAUCCCUCCCCACAUCUUUCUCACUCUCACUUACAGUACCUCAUGUGUUCUGUUUCCUACUCUACCUCUAUUCUUCCCUUGCUUGUUUUCUGUAUCUUUCCUUCAUUCACUCGAGCUCCUCGGUCAUCAUUAUGGACUUCCUUUCCUUUCUUGUUCCAUCAAUCUCUCUGCCUAAGUCAUUCAUUGUCACCCUCCCUCUCUCCCUCUCUAUUUCUGACUGUUUUCCAUCGGUCAGUCCUGUAUCUGUAAGGAGGGAUGCAGGAAAAGGGAAACAUACAAACCAGAAACAUAUUAUAGCAGCGCCGAUAGAAGAUAGCCAGACGACACAGUUGCAGUUCUGAGAUUUCCAGGCACUGCCAGGCUGUCACAAGACUAUGCUUGCCUAAAGGUAGCAUAUGGCAUUCUCCAAGACUGUUGUGCUCAUUGCCCUCCCACGCAACGUCCUGUCUCCAUCGCUCUCUUUCACUCACUCUCAGUCUCUCUCACCUUCUCUCUCUCUCUCUCUCUCUCUCUCUCUCUCGCUCUCUCUCUCUCUCUCUCUCUCUCUCGCUCUCUCUCUCUCGCUCUCUCUCUCUCUCUCUCUCUCUGUCUCUCUCUCCUUGGUUAUUUUCUCUCUUACCCAUCUCCCAUGUCACAGUACACAGCCCCUUCCCUCCCUGUUCUAUUUCACAAAGCCACACUUCAGUGGCGCUGCCUGAGGAGGAUGUCUCUGGCCCUGGCAGUUGGUGAGAGGGAGGAAGGCAGUGGAGGGAGGCUGCAAGGAAGAGCCAUUAGUUAAAUAUUAGCCAGCCUGUGUUAUAAUCCCUCAACAGUGAAGGGAGGGUUAGUGAGGCGGUCAUGGUAGUGAGAAACAAUUGGGCAUGUGGAUAGGAUUGGAGGGCGAGCUCUAUGGCACGCACACAGUGAAAUACAUAGGGAAGGAGGCAAUAAACACAAUUAAAAACACGCACACAGAGACACAAAUACACAGACACAAAAACAAAGAUACAAAGACACACACACACAAUUCCCCCCUCAUACAGAAACCCCCAUAGUGCCCCCUUAAUAACACCUAAUGACACCUGCAUAUGUGACCAACCCCAGCAGAGGGGCCAUAGAACACUCCAGCUCUACACUGGAACAGAAGGUGCUGUUUCAAUAGAUACCUGGCAGAACACAAAGGGACAGUGUUUUGUUGCCAACUCUUCAUCUGCACAAUCAGUGUGGAAAGCUGUGCUACGGUUACACACAUAACGCGCUGCACGGUAUCUGUCUUGUGAACACGUGUUUUGACACUGGUUUGACAUUUGGGAUUCAAUUUAGGAUAAGAAGUGAGAUAUGAGGUAAUCUGUGCAACUCAGAUGCUGUGAGAAAAUGUAAUAUGUGUUAUAUAUUGGCAUGUAAUGUGUGAUAAUAUCUGUAACCAAGCACUGCAAAGUAGCAUUUCUCAUAAGUAAACAGAAGAUAGACCACACAUCUGAAGAACCUUCCAGGUAAAUACGGACUAAAGCAGCUCUGUGAAGUAAAGAUGUUUGAUAACAUAACAUUAAAGAAUAUCUAGUUACAUACCGUGAUAUCAUUUUUGUUAUCGAUUUGUACUUUUUUAAAAUAUAAUGUUGCUACUGUAGGUAGCGUUAGCUAGUGCUCGUCAGCUGUCUCUGCGCCAAAACUCUGCUAUUUUUCAUCCUAUUGCUAUUGCUUGUCCUCAUCUUUAAAAAAAUUGUAAACCAACGUGUUUUCAGCACUUUUUUAUUUCCCUGACUGAUCAAAACUCUUCUCAUGCUCUCUCUUGUCCCACUGCAGUGGACAUAUGGUGAGUAAUAUGUUUGGAAUGUCAAAUCGCAAUAAAAUUGUGUGUCGAAUUGCAAUACAUAUAGAAUCGGCACCAACAGCAUCCUAAUCCAUUCUAGACUAGUUUAUUGAUAAUAGUUGUGUGUCCUCUACUCUAUACAAUAUAAGUGCUAUCUGUGACAGAAAUGGACAAUAGCUAAGGAAAAGGAUUCAGCAGUUCCUCCCUUCUGAUUCUCUACAUUCUUAGAAAAAAAGGUGCUAUCUAAAACCGAAAAGGGUUCUUCGGCUGUCCCCAU